rnacentral:rRNA from 1 species
GAACGCUGGCGGCGUGCCUAAUACAUGCAAGUCGAGCGAACAGACGAGGAGCUUGCUCCUCUGACGUUAGCGGCGGACGGGUGAGUAACACGUGGAUAACCUACCUAUAAGACUGGGAUAACUUCGGGAAACCGGAGCUAAUACCGGAUAACAUGUUGAACCGCAUGGUUCAACAGUGAAAGACGGUCUUGCUGUCACUUAUAGAUGGAUCCGCGCCGCAUUAGCUAGUUGGUAAGGUAACGGCUUACCAAGGCAACGAUGCGUAGCCGACCUGAGAGGGUGAUCGGCCACACUGGAACUGAGACACGGUCCAGACUCCUACGGGAGGCAGCAGUAGGGAAUCUUCCGCAAUGGGCGAAAGCCUGACGGAGCAACGCCGCGUGAGUGAAGAAGGUCUUCGGAUCGUAAAACUCUGUUAUUAGGGAAGAACAAAUGUGUAAGUAACUAUGCACGUCUUGACGGUACCUAAUCAGAAAGCCACGGCUAACUACGUGCCAGCAGCCGCGGUAAUACGUAGGUGGCAAGCGUUAUCCGGAAUUAUUGGGCGUAAAGCGCGCGUAGGCGGUUUUUUAAGUCUGAUGUGAAAGCCCACGGCUCAACCGUGGAGGGUCAUUGGAAACUGGAAAACUUGAGUGCAGAAGAGGAAAGUGGAAUUCCAUGUGUAGCGGUGAAAUGCGCAGAGAUAUGGAGGAACACCAG